UAAGCGCCGGCUAACUCUGUGCCAGCAGCCGCGGUAAUACAGAGGGUGCGAGCGUUAAUCGGAUUUACUGGGCGUAAAGCGUGCGUAGGCGGCUUAUUAAGUCGGAUGUGAAAUCCCCGAGCUUAACUUGGGAAUUGCAUUCGAUACUGGUGAGCUAGAGUAUGGGAGAGGAUGGUAGAAUUCCAGGUGUAGCGGUGAAAUGCGUAGAGAUCUGGAGGAAUACCGAUGGCGAAGGCAGCCAUCUGGCCUAAUACUGACGCUGAGGUACGAAAGCAUGGGGAGCAAACAGGAUUAGAUACCCUGGUAGUCCAUGCCGUAAACGAUGUCUACUAGCCGUUGGGGCCUUUGAGGCUUUAGUGGCGCAGCUAACGCGAUCAGUAGACCGCCUGGGGAGUACGGUCGCAAGACUCAAACUCCAAUGAAUUGACGGGGGCCCGCACAAGCGGUGGCGCA
rnacentral:rRNA from 1 species